rnacentral:lncRNA from 1 species
CUGAAACUGGUUAGCAACCAGAACCUCGCUUUGAUGGUUACACUGAGAUGGAAGGAGGAACGGGAAGAGGGAAGAUUAACCUUUCACUGGCCACAAUGCGUUGCCUCUUAUUGAGGAGGAUUCAGCAGCCCAACCCCCUCCAAUCCAGCCUAUCUGUCUGAAUUGCUGAAAGCAUAAUGCUCCCAUAUGAGAGAUAACACCACAUGUGCCUCGCUCUGCAUACACGGAGUGAUUCCCCACCACCCUGAAGACAUCACCACAUGUGCUGUAGGAACCAAAGCCAGCAGGAAAGUCUCCUUCCCACAGUGAGUUAAGCUGGCCUUUGCUCUGCUUGACGCUGCCCAUUUGAGGAAAGAUUCUCCCUGACCUUCUGCCAGAGAGACUGAUGACAAGGACGGUUUGAACUAACCCUGACAUUCACCAGGGUAAAUGGCUUUUUCCACAAGUAGUCAGCAGGCAAAGAGAGCUAGUCAAGAGCUAAUGAAUCUGCACCUGAGGGAAACCAAGC